GGGUGAUUAGCUCAGCUGGGAGAGCACCUCCCUUACAAGGAGGGGGUCGGCGGUUCGAUCCCGUCAUCACCCGACA
rnacentral:tRNA from 1 species